rnacentral:rRNA from 1 species
UACGGGGGGGGCAAGCGUUGUUCGGAAUUACUGGGCGUAAAGGGCUCGUAGGUGGCCAACUAAGUCAGACGUGAAAUCCCUCAGCUUAACUGGGGAACUGCGUCUGAUACUGGAUGGCUUGAGUUUGGGAGAGGGAUGCGGAAUUCCAGGUGGUAGCGGUGAAAUGCGUAGAUAUCUGGAGGAACACCGGUGGCGAAGGCGGCUCUCUGGGACGGUACUGACGCUGAGACGCGAAAGCGUGGGGAGCAAACAGGG